GACGUACCACCCAAACGUUAUUCGGAAUCACUGGGCUUAAAGAGUCCGUAGGCGGCCAGGAAAGUUGGGUGUGAAAUACCUCAGCUCAACUGAGGAAUUGCGCUCAAAACUACCUGGCUCGAGAAAGACAGAGGUGAGCGGAACUGAUGGUGGAGCGGUGAAAUGCAUUGAUAUCAUCAGGAACACCGGUGGCGAAAGCGGCUCACUGGGUCUUUUCUGACGCUGAGGGACGAAAGCUAGGGGAGCGAACGGG
rnacentral:rRNA from 1 species